UACGUAGGUGGCAAGCGUUGUCCGGAUUUACUGGGCGUAAAGGGUGCGUAGGCGGAUGUUUAAGUGAGAUGUGAAAUACCCGGGCUUAACCUGGGCACUGCAUUUCAAACUGGAUAUCUAGAGUGCAGGAGAGGAGAAUGGAAUUCCUAGUGUAGCGGUGAAAUGCGUAGAGAUUAGGAAGAACACCAGUGGCGAAGGCGAUUCUCUGGACUGUAACUGACGCUGAGGCACGAAAGCGUGGGUAGCAAAC
rnacentral:rRNA from 1 species